rnacentral:rRNA from 1 species
GUGGGGAAUCUUAGACAAUGGGCGCAAGCCUGAUCUAGCCAUGCCGCGUGAGCGAUGAAGGCCUUAGGGUUGUAAAGCUCUUUCAGUGGGGAAGAUAAUGACUGUACCCACAGAAGAAGCCCCGGCUAACUCCGUGCCAGCAGCCGCGGUAAUACGGAGGGGGCUAGCGUUGUUCGGAAUUACUGGGCGUAAAGCGCACGUAGGCGGACUGGAAAGUCAGGGGUGAAAUCCCGGGGCUCAACCCCGGAACUGCCUUUGAAACUCCCAGUCUUGAGGUCGAGAGAGGUGAGUGGAAUUCCGAGUGUAGAGGUGAAAUUCGUAGAUAUUCGGAGGAACACCAGUGGCGAAGGCGGCUCACUGGCUCGAUACUGACGCUGAGGUGCGAAAGCGUGGGGAGCAAACAGGAUUAGAUACCCUUGUAGUCC